UGUCUUCUGUUUUGGUUUCCUUAUUUUCUUUUUUUUUUUAAUUUUAUUUUAAACAGAAUAAGUUUUUGAAAACAUUAAAGAUUUUUGCUUAAAAUUCCUAGGUUAUUAGUUAAUAAUUGUUUUUUUAUAUUUUCAACUUAUACCCCCAUUGUAAACCCAACAGCCAAGCGGAUGGGUUUAAUUACUGGUAGUCCAACAGAUUUCUUUUUUAUUAGUUUUUUAUUUUAAUUCUUUUUUUUAAUUUAUCUUGGUUUAUAUAUCUAAAUUAGCAAUGUAAAUAACAACUAGUCAUGAGUGGUCUGGUGGAGAGGGGUGGUUUCUAUGGUCUUUAGUGUAGUGGGUUCG
rnacentral:lncRNA from 1 species